GCCAGGUUGAGAGAGAUGCAGGAUGACUGCUUGUUCAAAUCUAGACUGAACUUUAUUCAUAGUUGGAAUGCAUUUCCUCACUUCAAAUGAGACCUCCUGUUUACCUGGCAGUGAAUGCCUAUUUUGAUUACAGGAAUGUGCUCCAUGGGAUUGUGGAGGGGUAGGCAGGCAGACUAUAGGUUGUCUCCUCCUCCACCAUUUUCCUGUAAGCUCAUUGUCCUGAAUGUUGGUUUGACAAACCAGGACUGUGAAGAGGUUUCUAAGGAAACUGGAUUGAGGCUGUUGACCACUCCACACAGGCAACAAGAGGGGAACACAGUGCUCUGUUCAUAAAGGCCAUUCACACUGACAGAGAAGAACAGCCCAGCAUGUGCCCUGCUUGUGGAGUGACAUGGGGUGACAGAUAUCUUCCCAAGGUGGCCAGAGCAGAAGGAUCCAGGUCAUAAAAAGCAAAUCAAUGUCCAUCUGGUUCUCCUGGACACCUCAUCUAGAACCCCAACCAUCAUCCUGUAAAGAAGCCAUAACCCAUGGAAAGGUCCAUAUCGUCAGGAACUGAGGCCCAAGGAAAAUAUCCUGAGAUGAACUCCCAGCCAACAGCCAGAACCAACUUGCCACUGGUAUGAAUGACACAUCUUGAAAGUGGACCCUCCAGUCCCAGCAAGCCACCCCAGCCAAUGAAAUGUGGAGCAGAGAUGUACUUCCUUUCUAAGCCCAGCCCAAAGUGCAGAUUCAUGAGCAAAAUAGAGUAUUGUUCUAA